AUUUCAAACAGCGUCUAAAUCAAUUUGAGGGUCGCAAGUAUUCUAAUUUUGCAGGCAUAAUAUUGGUUUCUUAUAAAAUUUGACUAAGGGACGUACAAAUUUCAUGCUAAGGAAGUGAGUACAUCAAGCUUAGGCUAACCACUUAAGAGUAGUUUCUUUUUCACGACCGACAUGUAAAAGAAAAUCCCCCUUAAAAAUUCCAUGUGAAGUAACGUCGAAGAUAUUUGCUUGCAGAACAGUAAUGAAUACUAAAAGUGAAACUAUUUAGCUAACGGUUCAUGUAACACCUAAAAUUUGGAGUCUAGCUCUUAUCAUUCAAAACAAAUUGUCCUGCGAAAAAUGCAAUCCAUCUUGCAUUUUAAAUGUAUUGGCGAUUAAUUUUAAUCCUCAUGCACAACAGAAUCAGUCUUUUCUGAUCAUGUUGACGUCUCCUGAUAUCACUAAAAGGCAUUUUCUCUAAAGCUAAUUCAUUCUCAAAGAUCUGCACAACAAUAUCUGCAGAUGUUGGCGGAAUCCUCAAUUCAUCUACUUUCUUAGUAAUUCAAUUUCAUCAAGUCAUCAUAAUUUCAUAACUUUGAGCGCUUUAGGUAGACCAGCACACCAAUGCCCGUUAAAACAAGAGCGCUUGCCAAAAUAGAAGUGUGGAAAGAACUCCAUGCCGUCCUUUGGGUGGUCAGUGUACCUGGCUGUGAUCUUGUUUGAUAACUUGAAUCAAAAAAAUCCAGAUGCAACCUUAAAACCUUCAAUCCUGUUGUUCUAGCAUGGUUAAUAGCACCAAUGAGAUCACCAUCGGUUGCAAUUAAAACUUUGUCACCUUCAUCAUCCUCGUACAAAAGUUGAGGAUGAUCCCGACCAACACCAAUCCUUUGCGACACAGCAUAUGUAAGCUCAUCUAAAUUUUCAGUGCCACAAUUGAAACGAUGUACUCGACCCUUAGGAUCCACAAAUUUGAAGGCAAAUGAAUUGCCAACACCAAGGGAUGGAUAAGCAUACUUCCCAACAUCAGUCCCAUCUGAGGUAAUUAUUGCUGACAUUUCACUCUGAGUAUCACAAUCAUCAGGUGGCUCUAAAGCUAGGGCAGAAUCCCAGAACUUUUGCAUCAUUGUGUUUGCUACAUCAUUAACUGCUCCAGAGCUAUUUUCAACCAUAGAAAUUGCGGCAUGAGUUAUCUGCAGAACAUCUACACAGGCAGCAACAGAUCCAUCCUUAUCCACAACAGGAAGAUGUAAAAACUUCCCAUCAUGCAUUAUAUGCAAUGCAUCAAGAAUUGUUGUCUCCAUUGUUGCACAUUCAGGGUUCGGUGUCAUUACCUUUUCCACCAGGGUCAACUCAGGAGAAAGAUUUUGCGCCACAACUCGCAUGAGAAUAUCCUUCGAACUGCAAACCAGCAAUAUCAAUAACUGAGACGUGAAAUCAGUCAAAAGCAACAAUGAAUCUCAUUUUGUAGGUAGUGCCAUAAAAUAUUUUUAAAAAUUAUACUUAAGAAAAGCCUGUCAAUAAAAGAAUAGUACGUAAGUAUCCCCUGAAUUUUAUUCCCUGUCGCAAUGAUAACUGAAUUAACCCGCAAUUCACUCAUCUUUUUUGCAGCAAUGUAGACAGGAUCUGACAGUGAAGCAAUCGCAACCUUGAUCUGUUCACCAAUGAUGGUAGACAAAGCAGGUUUGAACAUUCGCUCCCUUAGUGUUUCUAUGAAUGCAUAUGGAGCAGAAAAAUUGCUUCCCCAUUGACGUUCCACCCCUUCAACAGCAGCAGCAAUGGCACUCCCCUGCUCAGCAGCCUUCUCCAUUCUAGAUAUAGCAUCAUAAAGACACUUUGUAAUAUCCAGCAGUGCAAUAACUUCACCAUUUUCCACAACAGGGAGGUGCCUAAAUUUGCCCUGGACCAUCUUCUGAAGAGCUUCAAUGGCUAAUGAAUCCGAGGUGACAAAAAUAGGGUUCCUUGUCAUAAUCUUUGAUACUAUUGUCUGCUCUGGUCUCAAACCCUCCGCUAUUACUCUAGCAGCAAUGUCCUUGUCAGUAACAAUCCCAGAAAGCAAAGCAUUGGCAUCAGUUAAUAAAACAGCAUCCACACGUCGAGCUGCCAUCCUCCUACAUGCCUCAGAUACAGUGGUGCCCUCGGGAAUGGUGAGAGCCUUAGACAACCUCAAUUUCUUCACUGUCCGCUCUCCGCCAACAGACGAUUGGGCAGGAGGAGAGGAUGAAUUGGCAACUGUUCCAUGGGCGGCGACAUUCUCCGACGAUGAGGACUUCCUGGACGUCGAUGGACCUCGUUUCUGAGUCAAACUGUUCCUCUUGAGACCUGGAGGAGGAGCCAUUUGGGUGCUCAUCCUUGAAUAUUCUGCGGACUCGGGUCAAAUAAAAUUAAAGGAGAAAAAGAGAGAGGUUGAGCCUCUCUCCUUUCCUUUGGCUCAGGUUGAGGAGACCGCAAAAAUGAAAAAAUCUUUCCCACCUGUGCUCAGACUUCAAAAUCAAAAU
rnacentral:misc_RNA from 1 species